GAAAUACACCCUGAACGCGCCCGAUCUCGUCUGAUCUCGGAAGCUAAGCAGGGUCGGGCCUGGUUAGUACUUGGAUGGGAGAAAUAACCAUAAAACCUUGGCGUC
rnacentral:rRNA from 1 species